rnacentral:rRNA from 1 species
CUUGGGUACUCGAGUGGCGAACGGGUGAGUAACACGUGGGUGAUCUGCCCUGCACUUCGGGAUAAGCCUGGGAAACUGGGUCUAAUACCGGAUAGGACCACAUUUUGGAUGGUGUGGUGGAAAGUUUUUCGGUGUGGGAUGAGCUCGCGGCCUACCAGCUUGUUGGUGGGGUAAUGGCCUACCAAGGCGUCGACGGGUAGCCGGCCUGAGAGGGUGUACGGCCACAUUGGGACUGAGAUACGGCCCAG